rnacentral:rRNA from 1 species
UACGUAGGGAGCAAGCGUUGUCCGGAAUCAUUGGGCGUAAAGCGCGCGUAGGCGGCCCUGUAAGUCCGUUGUGAAAGUCAAAGGCUCAACCUUUGAAAGCCGAUGGAUACUGCAGGGCUAGAGUCCGGAAGAGGCGAGUGGAAUUCCUGGUGUAGCGGUGGAAUGCGCAGAUAUCAGGAGGAACGCCAAUGGCGAAGGCAGCUCGCUGGGACGGUACUGACGCUGAGGCGCGAAAGCGUGGGGAGCAAACAGG